CGAAAUUGUAGUUUAACUAGAAUAUUAGCAUUGGAAGCUAAAGAUUAGGUGUCAGUCCUACAUUUCGA
rnacentral:tRNA from 1 species